AGAAUUAAAAGCCUCUCUAUGGCAAGGGCCACUUUAAUAAUGCAAUGUCUUAAUAAUAAGUAAGUGUUUCAAUACUUAUUUUUUCCCCAUUUCACUUGAUAAAGGCUCCAAUUGAUAAAGUAAUUUCUACCCUCCGAAUUCAUAUUCAUCAUAUAAAUAAGUCAUUUCAUUUUGUCUGGCUUGCCAUUCCAAAUAACAUUGAAUAUGUUUUGCCCAUAUAACUAAAACAGGUCACUACUGUAGGUGUAGGCAAAACCAUUAGCAAAUAGGUGAACUGUAAUAUAAUUUGUGUUCCACAAUAAUUCACUGUUGCCUCCUUUUUCAGGUAUCGUGGCUUGAGAUUUCUUUAAGGAAGAAAUCAUCAAGAGAUUUGCUGGACCCAAUGCCAGAAAGAUGUUUCUAGGACAAGAUUAUUUCUUUCAAGUCUCACCAGAUUGGAUCUGCUGGAUGGUUGGGAUUUCUCACUAAGGAUUAGCUAUCAAUUCCCUGACCCUGUAACUCUGGAGUGAGUUAAUUUGAAGGGAGAAAAAUGGUUUCAGGUUAUGGCAAAGGUGACCACAGAUGGUUCCUAGAUGCAUGAAAGGGAUAAUUCGGCAGAGAACAGUGUGAGCCUCACCCCCUCUAACUGGUUGAAGUAUUGGAGACAAUGGCGUUCACUAUGGUCCUUCACCACUUCUACCGUGAGACCUGAGUCCGAACCAGCAACCUUUACAUAGCAUCUGCUGGUGUACUGGUAGGACAAUUGACAAGACAUUAACGACUGGAAAGGAUGGUGGUGGCUCAGGUGAGCAAUUCAUCUGCUUGGGAAAAUCUGAUUACUGAAAUCGGGACAUUACCAAGUGUCUAAUGUUUAAUGCGUUGAUGUUGUUUACUUGCUACUUUGAUUGUAGAUUUGAGCUUUAUUAUGAUGAUUAUGAAUGAAAUUCUAUUACUCCCGUUAAUAGAAGUAUAACCUUUAUUAUGAUUUAUUAUAAUGUAUAUUCAUAGAACCUCCUUUUGAUAGAAGCUCAAAUCUAAAUCCUUACAUUAAAAUGUAAUGAUAAUUAUCACAGAUUGACUGAUAAGAGGAGGGAAUGUGAUGGAAAAUGGUAUCAUGUGAAGAGACAGCCUUGAAACUCUUGUCUUUCGUGUCAUAAAUAUUCCGUGGUUCCUGCCUGUGCUUGGUAAAGAUAAGAGCAGGGGUGACAUGAUCCCCUCCUUAGGACCAUCUGGCAGAACACCCAGAAUAUGUUCUAUAAAUUAAGAUAGGAAACAGUGCCGGACACAUACCAGAACCUCUGGUCUGAUGAAACAAAAAUAGAACUGUUUGGUAAUAAUGACCGUCGUUAUGUUUGGAAGA